rnacentral:rRNA from 1 species
AGAAUCAACGCUGGCGGCGUGCCUAACACAUGCAAGUCGAACGAGAAAGUGGAGCAAUCCAUGAGUAAAGUGGCGACCGGGUGAGUAACACGUGACUAACCUACCUUCGAGUGGGGGAUAACCUCGGGAAACCGAGGCUAAUACCGCAUAACAUCGCAAGAUCAAAGCAGCAAUGCGCUGGAAGAGGGGGUCGCGGCUGAUUAGCUAGUUGGCGGGGUAAUGGCCCACCAAGGCGAAGAUCGGUAG